GACGAACCACCCAAACGUUAUUCGGAAUUACUGGGCUUAAAGAGUGCGUAGGCGGCCUUGUAAGUAGGGUGUGAAAUCCCACAGCUCAACUGUGGAACUGCGCUCUAAACUACAUGGCUAGAGGGAUAUAGAGGUGAGCGGAACUGAUGGUGGAGCGGUGAAAUGCGUUGAUAUCAUCAGGAACACCGGAGGCGAAGGCGGCUCACUGGGCUGACACUGACGCUCAUGCACGAAAGCGUGGGGAGCAAACAGG
rnacentral:rRNA from 1 species